GCAGCUUUCAGGCUGUCAGUGUGACCAUGCCCGCACUCAGAAGAGGGAGACCAAAAGACUGAUCAUAGAUUACUUCUGGAUGUUUGGUUGAAUUUUUUACUUCAGUCUCCAUUUAAUGUGAUUCAGGCAACAAAUUUACUUGGCUGAGUUGAAGAAGCUCGAUCAUUUCACGUGUCUCUGUGAGAUAAGCAUGUGAAAGCUACACAGGCAGCUAACACUGGAUUUUAUACUCAUUGCUCUUCUUUCCAUACUACAAAAUCACUUUUUUGGUCAUUUUUACAUCAAACAAUGGGAUCUGUUAAUUUGUAGUUUAGAUAAAUAAUAUUUGUUAAAAUCUUUAACCAAAAAGUAAAACAGAGGUUGUUGAUGGAAACACCAACAGCAAAAAAAAAAGCACUUUUUUUGCUGUUGUGGUUGUUUUUGUGGGUAACUGGUGGUUUGCCCAUUUUCUGUUUAAACUGUGGUUUCAGCUGUCAGCUCAGAGUCAGAGCUGUAAAUCUGUUUCCCGUCACCUAACCCAACACUCAGGUGAACAAUGAGAAAAAAAACAUCAGGCAACAAGUGCAUCAAAUCAGUCUGCAAGAUUUACAAUACACAUCACUGCCAGACCCAGUGCAACAACAGAAAGAUUCUCUUAUCACAAAUUGACAUCAACAUUUGCACGAUGGCGGUUUGGUGUUUCUGUACAGCAGAGAGGAAGGCAGUCAGAAAGGUCAGCUAGAAAACUCAUAUUUACAGAAUAAGUACUAGAACCCGAACUGCUCACACCACCAGCCAGAUGUGCAUGCAGAGGAGCGUCCUGGCUUACAUGGAAACACACGGGUCCGUGGACAGGAACGCACAGAUACUGAGCAUGCUCACUGUUUUCCUCAUCCUCUUCUUCUUCAUGACAGCUGCAAAUAUAAAUCGUUCACAUCUUUUCAGAAGAAAAGCCCCGCCCACUGUCUGUGGCUAACACAUGUUCAGGGCUGUAGCCAGCAGAUCACAAACUACUGAUGUGGGGUAAAAGGAAAUAUAUCAUUAUUUCAAAAAAUGAAAACAAGAAUAAAAAGAUAAUUAAAAAUCGAACAAAUAAAAUCCAUGAAAUGAAAUAAAAAAAAAAAAAGAUAAUUUCGCUGUUGUAGCACGUACACCUCAAGAUAAACUUUCCCAUUCACCAACACUAAUAAAUAAUAAUAACAAAAAAUAUGAUGACUGAAAGAAAAUAACGUGAAAAUAAUAAUAAUAAUAAUAAUAAUAAUAAUAAUAAUAACAGUAAUAAUAAUAAUAAUGCAUUACAUGAUAUAUUUCAUCACUGGGUGCAGGCUGUAAAUAUCUGCUGUCCCACCCAUGAUAGGACAAACGCUGAAGUCUUUAGCGACAAACAGCCUCCACCCAGGACAAAUAUGUACUUAUAAAAGAGACUCAGAAGACUGCAAAACAAAUGGCGAGUCCCAACCUUCAACAUGUCCUCAGAACAUUUUCUACAAACACAGAGGGUCUGUCAGGUUCAGAAGUGUGACAGUGUGAUGAUAAACCCUCCGUCACCAUCCGUCUCAUCCUGGUUUCUACUGGGACAGGUUUAGUCUAACUUAGCACAAAGACUGCAAGCCCAGCUAACUGAAUUCCAGUGAUUGGAGAUAAAGUUCAAAUCAGCUGAGGACCUCUGAGCCUAAACUAAACGCUGUGUCUGAUGCUUUAUGUAUUUUCUACAUUAUCUUUCAAAGGAGUACGGUAGACCUAAUAUGAAAGUAAUGCAGGUAAUUUAAAAGGUUAAAACUUGAUUAAAACACAAGUCUGGUUAGCUCAGAUUAAGCUUCUGGCUCUAAAGUCCACCUCCAGACAGUCAAAUUCAGCUAAAUGGACUAGUAACUGACUAAGAGGAUUCAACAUAUAAUGAAUGUGAAGCGUUGACCCCAGCUGCCAGUCUCUGUGCUAA
ensembl:lncRNA